GAGUUUGAUCAUGGCUCAGGACGAACGCUGGCGGUGCGCCUUAUGCAUGCAAGUUGAGCGAAGCUUUUUGGUAGUUUACUACUAGAAAUGACUGAGCGGCGAACGGGUGAGUAACGCGUGAGCAAUCUACCUUAGUUACUGGGAUAGCCCGAGGAAACUCGGAUUAAUACCAGAUAUUCUUAUUUUUUCACAUGAAGUUUUAAGGAAAGGUCAGCCGAACUAAGAUGAGCUCGCGUUCUAUCAGCUAGUUGGUGGGGUAAAAGCCUACCAAGGCUACGACGGAUAGCUGGUCUGAGAGGACGAUCAGCCACACUGGGACUGAGACACGGCCCAGACUCCUACGGGAGGCUGCAGCAGGGAAUAUUGUGCAAUGAGCGAAAGCUUGACACAGCGACACCGCGUGUGGGAUGACGGUUCUAGGAUUGUAAACCACUUUCAGGAGGGAAGAAAAUGACGGUACCUCCACAAGAAGACCCGGCCAACUAUGUGCCAGCAGCCGCGGUAAUACAUAGGGGUCAAGCGUUGUCCGGAUUUAUUGGGCGUAAAGAGCUCGUAGGCGGUUCAACAAGUCGGUCGUAAAAGUUUAGGGCUCAACCCUAAAAUGUCGAUCGAUACUGUUGUGACUAGGAUACGGUAGAGGUGAAUGGAAUUCCGAGUGUAGCGGUGAAAUGCGUAGAUAUUC
rnacentral:rRNA from 1 species